rnacentral:rRNA from 1 species
UACAGAGACUGCAAGCGUUAUUCGGAUUCACUGGGCGUAAAGGGUGCGCAGGCGGCCGUGUGUGUGAGGCGUGAAAGCCCGAUGCUUAACAUCGGAAUUGCACCUCAAACUACACGGCUAGAGCAUUGGAGAGGGUAGCGGAAUUCACGGUGUAGCAGUGAAAUGCGUAGAUAUCGUGAGGAACACCAGAGGCGAAGGCGGCUACCUGGACAAUUGCUGACGCUCAGGCACGAGAGCGUGGGGAGCAAAAGGG